rnacentral:rRNA from 1 species
ACGUGACAAACCGCCUACGAGCUCUUUACGCCNAAUAAUUCCGGACAACGCUUGCACCCUACGUAUUACCGCGGCUGCUGGCACGUANUUAGCCGGUGCUUUUUCUGCAGGUACCGUCACUUGCGCUUCUUCCCUGCUAAAGAGGUUUACAACCCGAAGGCCGUCGUCCCUCACGCGGCGUUGCUGCAUCAGGCUUGCGCCCAUUGNGNANUAUUCCCCACUGCUGCCUCCCGUAGGAGAAUCACGAAUUUCUGGAUCCGAUACGUUAACGCGNCUGCAGCAUGCGUGGUACCGAACUUUCCCUA